rnacentral:tRNA from 1 species
CGCGGGAUGGAGCAGUCUGGUAGCUCGUCGGGCUCAUAACCCGAAGGUCGCAGGUUCAAAUCCUGCUCCCGCUA